ACGGGAGGCAGCAGUAGGGAAUUUUCGGCAAUGGGCGGAAGCCUGACCGAGCAACGCCGCGUGAGGGAAGAAGGUCUUCGGAUUGUAAACCUCUGUUGUACAGGAAGAAUAUGUCUUAUAGGGAAUGAUAAGAUAAUGACGGUACUGUACGAGGAAGCCACGGCUAACUACGUGCCAGCAGCCGCGGUAAUACGUAGGUGGCGAGCGUUAUCCGGAAUUAUUGGGCGUAAAGAGGGAGCAGGCGGCAGCUAGGGUCCGAGGUAAAAGCCUGAAGCUCAACUUCAGCGAGCCUUGGAAACCGAGCAGCUAGAGGCCAGUAGAGGAAUGCGGAAUUCCAUGUGUAGCGGUGAAAUGCGUAGAUAUAUGGAGGAACACCGGUGGCGAAGGCGGCAUUCUGGGCUGGAACUGACGCUCAUUCCCGAAAGCGUGGGGAGCAAAUAGGAUUAGAUACCCUGGUA
rnacentral:rRNA from 1 species